rnacentral:pre_miRNA from 1 species
ACAUACGGCAAUCUGUCUUUAAGUAGGGAUAAAUUACUCUAAAAGAAAUGAAUCUUAAGAUAGUUUUCCCUUCAAGUCAAGCAUCUUGU